rnacentral:rRNA from 1 species
GAGGAUCAAUUGGAGGGCAAGUCUGGUGCCAGCAGCCGCGGUAAUUCCAGCUCCAAUAGCGUAUAUUAAAGUUGUUGCGGUUAAAAAGCUCGUAGUCGAAUCUGUGUCCCGCGCCGUCGGUUCAUCGCUCGCGGUGUUUAACUGACGUGUCGUGGGACGUCCUGCCGGUGGGCUUAGCUCGUUCGCGGGCGGCCCAACUUGAAAUCCCACCGCGGUGCUCUUCAUUGAGUGUCGAGGUGGGCCGGCACGUUUACUUUGAACAAAUUAGAGUGCUUAAAGCAGGCUAAAAUUUCGCCUGAAUAUUCUGUGCAUGGAAUAAUGGAAUAGGACCUCGGUUCUAUUUUGUUGGUUUUCGGAACCCCGAGGUAAUGAUUAAUAGGAACGGAUGGGGGCAUUCGUAUUGCGACGUUAGAGGUGAAAUUCUUGGAUCGUCGCAAGACGGACAGAAGCGAAAGCAUUUGCCAAAAACGCUUUCAUUGAUCAAGAACGAAAGUUAGAGGUUCGAAGGCGAUCAGAUACCGCCCUAGUUCUAACCAUAAACGAUGCCAGCUAGCGAUCCGCCGACGUUCCUCCGAUGACUCGGCGGGCAGCUUCCGGGAAACCAAAGCUUUUGGGUUCCGGGGGAAGUAUGGUUGCAAAGCUGAAACUUAAAGGAAUUGACGGAAGGGCACCACCAGGAGUGGAGCCUGCGGCUUAAUUUGACUCAACACGGGAAACCUCACCAGGCCCGGACACCGGAAGGAUUGACAGAUUGAGAGCUCUUUCUUGAUUCGGUGGGUGGUGGUGCAUGGCCGUUCUUAGUUGGUGGAGCGAUUUGUCUGGUUAAUUCCGAUAACGAACGAGACUCUAGCCUGCUAACUAGGCGUAUUUUCGACAUCCUAAAGGCCCGCCGGCCCGGCGCUCGCGUCGCGGUCGUGCGCGGUUUUUACUGUCGGCGUACAAACAAUUCUUCUUAGAGGGACAGGCGGCUUCUAGCCGCACGAGAUUGAGCAAUAACAGGUCUGUGAUGCCCUUAGAUGUUCUGGGCCGCACGCGCGCUACACUGAAGGAAUCAGCGUGUCCUCCCUGGCCGAGAGGCCCGGGUAACCCGCUGAACCUCCUUCGUGCUAGGGAUUGGGGCUUGCAAUUGUUCCCCAUGAACGAGGAAUUCCCAGUAAGCGCGAGUCAUAAGCUCGCGUUGAUUACGUCCCUGCCCUUUGUACACACCGCCCGUCGCUACUACCGAUUGAAUGAUUUAGUGAGGUCUUCGGACCGGUACGCGGCGGCGCUCCCGCGUCGCCGAU